UACGAAGGGGGCUAGCGUUGCUCGGAAUCACUGGGCGUAAAGCGCACGUAGGCGGCCAACUAAGUCAGACGUGAAAUCCCUCGGCUUAACCGGGGAACUGCGUCUGAUACUGGAUGGCUUGAGAUUGGGAGAGGGAUGCGGAAUUCCAGGUGUAGCGGUGAAAUGCGUAGAUAUCUGGAGGAACACCGGUGGCGAAGGCGACAUCCUGGACCAAUACUGACGCUGAGGAGCGAAAGCCAGGGGAGCAAACGGG
rnacentral:rRNA from 1 species